AAAUCCCCGGCGCUCCUCAGUCUAGGUGACGCACAGUCGCCCCCCCAGGCAGCCCAGGCGGCAGCAGCAGCUGCGGCUGCUGCAGGAGAAGAUUUGGAGCUCUAGGGCGAAGGAGAGCAGAGGCUGCCUUCUGCACGCGCCGACUGCCCCCCUCCGGGGGUGGGGGCUGGGAGACAUCCUGGGUCUCCGCCCCCUGCCCACCGCGCCCAGAAAGACGAACUGGCAAGAGGUCUGUUUGCCUGAACCCAUCAACAGCUGGAGACUAAUCAACCACACUGAAAUUGUUGGGGAUUUGUGGGGGGUGGAAUGUAGAUGUUUGAAACAAAUGUGUAUAAAUAAAUGAAUUGUUGAUAACUUA